rnacentral:snRNA from 1 species
UGUAAGGGGGGUCUGGCUGAGACGUCUGUCUGUCUCCCCCACUGGUUGCCAGGGUGAUCUGGCUGAUCAGGCUGGCUAGGCAGGUGUCCUCUUACUCCUUCACAGC